GCGGCCAUGUCGCCUGGAAACCUGGUUGGAUGACGGAACUAUUUUCGUCACGCCUCUUUGGAACUCAAUGGCAUAGAAGACGCGGCUUUCUUCUUAUUCAGAUCAUUUCAUAACGAUGUGUCUCCUAUAGCCACCGGAGACCAUACACUGGCGAUUCUUCUUGGAGAAUCUGACGCUUCGCCGUGCGGUUUCCCUUUUGAGUGGGCAGGAAUGGAGGCGGCGCCACUGUAGAUGUUCUUGGUCUGGGGAUAUGCGGAGAGUGGUUGAUUGAUAGGCUGCUUUAUGAUCGUUGUCCGUUAGGUUUCAAAUCCAAGCCUACUUCUCUCGGAAACGAAAAUUGAAGGUAUCAAGUUAUUACUAUUAAUUUCCUGGUUCUCUGUGUUUUAAAAAGAAAAUCUAAAUUGUGAUGCCAAAUGGGUUAGUCCAACUAACAAGAAAAUCUUUAAGGAUUGAAAAUUUCUGAUUUGUUAAAUUAGAUCAAGUAGUGCAUAAUUUCUUUUAUGAAAGAAUAAAUUAGUCACCUUGCAGUUGAUAAAACAUUCAUCUUUAACAUGAUUCUUGUCGUAGUGAUUAUUACGCAAUAAUGUCCAUUGCUAUAUGAAACCCAGCUGUGAUAGUAUUGAGUAAUAAUAGUAACUGAUAAUGUAAGUCUCAUGUCCUGUAGAUGUAUGGCUUCAUAAUUGCUUUUGGUUUUCUUAAUAGGAUUGAUAUGAAAAUAAGCUACCGAAAUAAAUAUAUUGAAUUGAUAUAAUUUGGCGCGAAAUACUUAUAUAAAAUAAAUAUUAGGAAACAUAAGCUCCCAGACUAAUUAAACUUUGUUACCGGUUAUGCUCGAUCUAUUUAUUUUGCGCAACAUUUGACCAUCUAAAAUCUAAAUAUAUUUCUGGUUUUGUAUUUAAUAUUCUUAGUACUUAUUUCUUCUAAUUUUAUUUGAAUUUUAUCUUUUUGUUCAUCCUUAUUAUUAACCUCACAUCCCUUUUCGCGCAGACAAAAAUGUCAUUUCAGUAUCUUGGUUGCUUUUCUGUUUUUCUUACUGCUUUAAUAAUUGAAGUUGUGUUUUUCUUUCAUAAAGUUUAUUUUUUAUUGUUCUUGAUUGUUAUGCUUUUUUAAAAAAAAUAACAUACUCUGCAUAUUUUGUUUUCACUGAUAAGUGGAAUGUAAAAGAGAAAGUAAGUUAUUUUUAUUUGAAGUUAAUAAAUAUGAAUCAAGUAAAUGAUCUUUGCAUAAUAUACAUCCCUCUCAACCAAAUUUUUAACAACUCUAAAAACUCACUAGUCUCUUUGUCACCUUUAACGACAAAUUGCACAUUGACACUCAAAAAGUUCUCCAGGUCUAUGCUGACGUGGUGCAUAGAAUAAACAGAUGAUAAGAAGUUCAAAUCUUCCGCAUGCCUACAGUAACACACUCAUGUACAUUGCCGUUCCGGUUGAUAAAGUUCUUCGUGAACAUCAACAAUCAUUUUCAAUAAUAACUCCCAUGUUGAAGAUAGUGAUGACCUUUCAAAAUAUUGGUCACCAAUUACAUCUUCAUACACUAUCUCAUCACCAAUGUCCUGAUCUAUCUCGGUCAGCUCGGUCACAACAUUGUCAUGCUCCUCAAGGUCUGCUCGACAUAGAAUAGUUUGACCAUAUUGAAGAGGUAAUUCUGAGCAACUGGACCUCGUGAUUUUGAAAAGGGGUCCACCUUGACCGUUAUUCGACACCUCACAUGUAAAAAGUGAGCCGGUAAGCUUUUCAUGCCAACAAGACUUAUAUUUUUCCAUGCCAACAAGACUUAUAAU
rnacentral:lncRNA from 1 species